rnacentral:rRNA from 1 species
UACGAAGGAUGCAAGCGUUAUCCGGAUUUAUUGGGUUUAAAGGGUGCGUAGGCGGACUUAUAAGUCAGUGGUGAAAUCUCGAUGCUUAACAUCGAACGUGCCAUUGAUACUGUAGGUCUUGAGUACAGAUGCCGUUGGCGGAAUGUGUCAUGUAGCGGUGAAAUGCAUAGAUAUGACACAGAACACCGAUUGCGAAGGCAGCUGACGAAACUGUAACUGACGCUGAGGCACGAAAGCGUGGGAUCAAACAGG